rnacentral:rRNA from 1 species
UACAGAGGUCUCAAGCGUUGUUCGGAUUCAUUGGGCGUAAAGGGUGCGUAGGCGGGUCUUUUAAGUCAGGGGUGAAAUCCUGGAGCUCAACUCCAGAACUGCCUUUGAUACUGGCGAGCUUGAGUUCGGGAGAGGUGAGUGGAACUGCGAGUGUAGAGGUGAAAUUCGUAGAUAUUCGCAAGAACACCAGUGGCGAAGGCGGCUCACUGGCCCGAUACUGACGCUGAGGCACGAAAGCGUGGGGAGCAAACAGG